GUUGUGCUUCAGUGAGGUUUUUCCUCUGAAAGGAUCCCUUUGAGGGUGUGGCUGGCCUGCUGCAGAUGGCGGACCAUGUGCAAUCUGCCUCGUCAGUGACUGGGGACUAAAGAAGCUACAACAGGACUCCUCUCUGCCUGAUAAUCAACUCUGCUGGUUGGCAAUCCUUGUACCCAAACUGGAUAUCAUAUUGGACCAUCAUAUAUCUGUUGCCCUCCUGGAAAUCUCUCACAUCAUAAUCAACUCCUGCAGCUUCCCCGUUCCCCAUCAUCCAUUUCCUGCCUGUUCUACGAUGACCUUUGUACGCCUACCUUGUGGGUUUUGACUCACCUGUUCAGUCUCUUACAGAACCAUCAGGAUCUUCACUCCUCCCUCAACCCAAGCUACCUACGCCAAGCAUAUAAGCUACUAUAUUUGGGUAUAUAAUCAUAUAUUUGAAUAUCCAACAUAACUUUCCACUAUAUAACUUAACUCAGCCUCUCCUCCUUCAGAAACUCUCAAUUUCAUGACCAUCAAAAGCCUUACCAGCUUAUAUCCAAUAAAUUACCUUUGCAUGUUUA